GAUGAACGCUGGCGGCGUGCCUAAUACAUGCAAGUCGAGCGAACAGACGAGGAGCUUGCUCCUCUGACGUUAGCGGCGGACGGGUGAGUAACACGUGGAUAACCUACUUAUAAGACUGGGAUAACUUCGGGAAACCGGAGCUAAUACCGGAUAAUAUAUUGAACCGCAGGGAUCAAUAGUGAAAGACGGCUUGGCUGUCACUUAUAGAUGGAUCCGCGCCGCAUUAGCUAGUUGGUAAGGUAACGGCUUACCAAGGCAACGAUGCGUAGCCGACCUGAGAGGAUGAUCAGCCACACUGGAACUGAGACACGGUCCAGACUCCUACGGGAGGCAGCAGUAGGGAAUCUUCCGCAAUGGGCGCAAGCCUGACGGAGCAACGCCGCGUGAGUGAUGAAGGUCUUCGGAUCGUAAAGCUCUGUUAUUAGGGAAGAACAAAUGUGUAAGUAACUAUGCCCGUCUUGACGGUACCUAAUCAGAAAGCCACGGCUAACUACGUG
rnacentral:rRNA from 1 species